rnacentral:rRNA from 1 species
AGUGAACGCUGGCGGUAGGCCUAACACAUGCAAGUCGAACGGCAGCACAGUAAGAGCUUGCUCUUACGGGUGGCGAGUGGCGGACGGGUGAGGAAUACAUCGGAAUCUACUUUUUCGUGGGGGAUAACGUAGGUAAACUUACGCUAAUACCGCAUACGACCUACGGGUGAAAGCAGGGGAUCUUCGUACCUUGCGCGAUUGAAUGAGCCGAUGUCGGAUUAGCUAGUUGGCGGGGUAAAGGCCCACCAAGGCGACGAUCCGUAGCUGGUCUGAGAGGAUGAUCAGCCACACUGGAACUGAGACACGGUCCAGACCCCUAAGGGAGGCAGCAGUGGGGAAUAUUGGACAAUGGGCGCAAGCCUGAUCCAGCCAUACCGCGUGGGUGAAGAAGGCCUUCGGGUUGUAAAGCCCUUUUGUUGGGAAAGAAAAGCAGCAGGUUAAUACCACGCUGUUCUGACGGUACCCAAAGAAUAAGCACCGGCUAACUUCGUG